rnacentral:lncRNA from 1 species
GCAAAUUAUAUAGAAGAGCACUUCUGUAUAAUUUAUUGUUUCUUCAUCACAUGUUUUCAACUGUUGCCCUAAAUAGGUUUAAAAAUGUGAUCACGUUAUUAGAAAAUCCUUUCCAUUGAAUUUCAGGGAUGCUGAAUUUCAGGGAGCUAAAUUGUUCACCCUUGUAUGUAAUUGUUACUGGUUCAGAAGUAAAUUUUAUUGAUGCUACAAGUAAAAAAUUAGAUCCGACUUAGUAAACUCAAAAGUUUUACAUAACUAUAUUUUACUAUGUAGAUGUAUUUCUUUAAAAUAGGUAUGGAUCGAUAUUUUUAUGAAUAAAUAAUAUUGCAUUGUAGAUGGAAUGAAACUUUGCAUUUAAUUUGCCCCAUAAGUAGGCUUUUUGUAGAAUGAAUUACUAUCUCCUAAAUUGUCCAAUCUAAAUUUUUAUUGGCUACAUUAACUUAAAGCAUAUUCUCUCUCUUUUCUCGUCACACUUUUUUCCUUCUUCCCAGGGUCUUCCUCUCCCUCUUUCAUCACCUACAUUGUCCCCCUUCCUUUUCUACUAUUCUUAUCGUAUGUACUAGCUGUUGUUAUUUAUACAAAUACUCAUAUAUCCUUGCAUAGCAUGUUUUUAAACAAAAGAUACUGUAGUGAUCCUAACAGUUUACAAUUUUAUAUUUAAAAAUUAUUCAGGAUAUCUAGAAAUCCCUGACUUUUUACACCAUGCUGAUCACUUGGCUCCUGUCUUAGUCCAUUCUGGCUGCUAUCUCAGAAUACCAGAGACUGGGUAGCUUAUAAACAACAGAAAUUUAUUUCUCCUAAAUCUGGAAGCUGGGAAAUACAGUAUCAAGGUGCCAGCAGAUUUGGUGUCUGGUGAGGGGCCCACUCACUGGUUCAUGGAUGGUGCGUUCUAGCUGUGUCUUCACCUAGUGGAAGGGUCGAGCUAGCUCUCUGGGACCCUUGUGACCUAAUCGUCCCCCAAAGGUUCCACUUCGUAAUACUAUACCUUGGGAAUUAAGGUUUCAACAUGUGAGUUUUGUGGGGACACAGACAUUCAGAUCAUAGCAACUCCUGUACUCUACUAAAAAGCAUAUUAGAUAAAUAAGUAAUCGUCUUUCAAUUUUUAAGAAUUAUUCACUUGAGCCGAGCAUGGUGGUUCAUGUCUGUAAUUCCAGCACUUUGGGAGGCCGAGGAGGAUGAAUCACGAGGUCAAGAGUUCAAGACCAGCCUGGCCAAGAUGGUGAAACCUCGUCUCUACAAAAAAUACAAAAAUUAGCCAGGCAUAGUGGCAGGCAGGCACCUGUAAUCCCAGCUUCAGGAGGCUGAGGCAGAGAAUUGCUUGAACCUGGGAGGCAGAGGUUGCAGUGAGCUGAGAUGUGCCACUGUACUCUAGCUUGGGUGGCGAGCGAGCCAACAUCUCAAAAAAAAAAAAAAAAAAA